rnacentral:tRNA from 1 species
UCCUUCUUAGCUCAAUUUGGAUAGAGCGUCCGUCUACGAAACGGAAGGUUACAGGUUCGACCCCUGUAGAAGGAA